GACGAACUCUGGCGGCGUGCCUAAUACAUGCAAGUAGCACGCAGUUGCGAACUGGUUAGUAACGCGUAGUUACCUACCUACUACCGGGGGAUAACUAUUGGAAACGAUAGCUAAUACCGCAUACUGUAAGAUGGACCUGCGUUGUAUUAGCUCGUUGGUGAGGUGAAGUCGCACCAAGGCGACGAUACAUAGCCGACCUGAGCGGUGGAUUGUACACACUGGGAUGGAGAAACGGACCAGACUACUACGGGAGGCAGCAGUAGGGAAUCUUCGGCAAUGGAGCGAAGUGUGACCGAGCAACGCCGCGUGAGUGAAGAAGGUUUUCGGAUCGUAAAGCUCUGUUGUUAGAGAAGCGGGAACUAACCAGAAAGGGAAGGCUAACUACGUGCCAGCAGCCGCGGUAAUGC
rnacentral:rRNA from 1 species